GACGUAGGGCGCGAGCGUUGUCCGGAUUUAUUGGGCGUAAAGAGCUCGUAGGCGGCUUGUCGCGUCGUCCGUGAAAACCUGCAGCUCAACUGCAGGCUUGCGGUCGAUACGGGCAGGCUGGAGUUCGGUAGGGGAGACUGGAAUUCCUGGUGUAGCGGUGAAAUGCGCAGAUAUCAGGAAGAAUAUCCGUGGCGAAGGCGGCUCUCUGGGACGGUACUGACGCUGAGACGCGAAAGCGUGGGGAGCGAACAGG
rnacentral:rRNA from 1 species